rnacentral:tRNA from 1 species
AACAAAAUGUAGCUUAACACUAAAGCACCUCGCUUACACCGAACAUAUGUCUGUUUAACCCAGAUCAUUUUGA